UACGAAGGGGGGCUAGCGUUGCUCGGAAUCACUGGGCGUAAAGGGCGCGUAGGCGGACUCUUAAGUCGGGGGUGAAAGCCCAGGGCUCAACCCUGGAAUUGCCUUCGAUACUGAGAGUCUUGAGUUCGGAAGAGGUUGGUGGAACUGCGAGUGUAGAGGUGAAAUUCGUAGAUAUUCGCAAGAACACCAGUGGCGAAGGCGGCCAACUGGUCCGAUACUGACGCUGAGGCGCGAAAGCGGUGGGGAGCAAACGGG
rnacentral:rRNA from 1 species